AUGUGGUACAGGAUUAGAUACCCCAUUAACGUAUUUUGUAAUAUUAUCUUAGUUUAGUAACUAAAAUGGUUUGGCAGUGAGUGAUUCUUUUUAGGGGAAGGUGUGGUGUAAAGGAUGUUCCGCCUAUUAAUUUACUUUUAUUAUGUUGGUGUAUAUCUGGUUUAAUAUUAUCGUUGAGUGAUGUAUAAGUUUGUGUAGGUUUUAGUUAAGCUAAGUCUAUGUGCUGCUUAUAAAAGUAUACAUGCGUUACAUUGAUAAAGUUUUAGUUGUAAGUGCUAUUAUAUUCAGGACUUAAAAGUAAUGUUAAAUUAGUUUGUUAAUGUGAAGUAAGUUUAGCUCAGGUACACACCGCCCGUCACC
rnacentral:rRNA from 1 species